GGGUUGAUUCGGUCAGCUUGGCUUGAGUUAGUGCUGUGAGGGGCUAGGAAGCUUCUAGGCCUUGGGGGCUGUGUUGAUAAGUACAAUUUUCAGGAGUGUGGAGCUCCCUGGACUAGGAGCAGAAUGCCGUAGGUGGGCAUAAGCAGAAAGGGCAGCUCUAGAAAGUUUGUAAGAGAAAAAAGAUAUAUGUGGAGAUUUGUGUGUGUGAAGAGUUAGGUGCUAUGUUCUGAUGAAUGCCAUUUCUUUGAUUAGGGCAGACUGGUGUGGCUAUGUGUGAAGCCAUCUGGGGCUAUGAGGGUUGCUAGGUCCUCUUCUGCAGAGUGGCUUUUGUGCUAGGUGGCCCCAGAAGGAACAUCCAUCAGAGCUGCUCUCUUGUGGCACCACUCAAAGGCCUCUUGAGCACUGAAGAAAAAGGCAUGUGCUGCACCAGUGAUGCCUCCAUUUCCCAUCCCCUCUUAAGGGUUUCAGCUGCUAUCUGCUGUGUUCAUGCUCCCAUCUUACACUGAUGCACUGAAGGGAAAGGGUGAAAUCCUGCUGUGGCUGCUUUCUCAGCAGGACCUGUUAUUUGGACUAUUUUAUUUUAAAUGGCAAAGAUGUGUAGAAAUCGUUUAGUUGAAGCACAAAUAGUCAAAGGGUGAGUAGACAGAGCCUGCACACAGGACUGGGGCUUUAUAGGUCAACACCUUGGCUUGGAGCCUCUGCUUAGCUUCUGAAAAGUAAAAUCUUUACAGUGUAUCUACAUACACUUUAUAAACACAAGUAUGCAUUCACAAAAAUAUGAAAGUAUGCACCAUCAUCAAAACCAACAUUGUACAAAUAUACAUCAUACCAGUAUUUAAAUAUUUAUUUUUCACCUAUGCUGUUUGCAGGAUGAAUAGGCUUUUGCAAGACUGACUACAUUUCCAUUUUGGAUCAUUGGUGCGUUCUUUCUUAUGAAGGAAAUAAUUAAUCUCCAGUCAAGCAAUGGUGUCCAUGUGCUUCAGAGCCUGAUACCUGAAACUAGGGAGAAACAAAGUGCAAAUCAUCAGCUCACGUCCACUGAUCAAAGACAAUCAAAUAUCCAGAGGAAAAAGCUAAGCAAGCCAUUCCAUUUCUAUUGAAUCUUAUGAAAUUUUUACUAGAUUCCAUAGGACCAUGGCCAAAAAACUAAUUUUUACAGUGGGAAACUUCUACCUGUAAUGCUUCAUUUAAUAUCUUUAAAUAUCCUUAUUUCCUAGGCUUUCCACGUUCACUUCUUUUCUUUUAACAAGUAUUUUGAAAGAUAUGCAUGGCUAUGCUAAGAUUUCCUGCCCUACAGGAGGAAAGACAGUGUAUGAGUUUGCAACUUCAGUUUUUACAGUCACUCUGACUGUUAAUAAAAAGUAGUUAAAAUGGCUGCGUGGAAAUAUUAAGUUUUCAAGUAUGGUGAAGGCAGAUGGGGAUUUGUUCUUCUUUCUCCUAUGUGGAAAUUGGGCACAAAGUUUAUAGAGGUAACUGCAGUUCUGGGAAAAUGAUAGUUUUCUUUAAUGGCACAGUUCCCACCCGCAGGCAAACAAAAGAGAAACCAUAAUGAUUUAUCUGCAAACAGGAUGCAAGCAAUCUGCAUUGUUUCCAUGAGUUAGUCAGCUAAAAUACUCCUAGUAAAUCCUAUCCCUUUAUCACCCUAAUCCUCUGAGUCUGGAAGGAAAAUGCAGAAGCACGCUCCAAACGGAGAAGCACCCUCAGCCCCUCUCCUUGUUAAUAACAGGCUUUUCAACAUUGCAUUGUCUCCAGGCAUUAUUUGACUUAACAUUUGAGUUCUCAUUAGUAUAUGCAGAACAGACAAUUCAAUUUACCAGCUCUAGGGUCUUGGCUGACAAUUGUGCCUUGACACAAAACGUGGUUUGGCUUUGUGCAUUUGUGUGCAGAGUCUUCCUACCACUGUACUUUCUCCCAGGGUGCCACUCAGUUGGUCUUCUGUUCUGCAAAUACUGAUUUUUUGAAUCUGGGAAAUUAAACCACCAUGGCAGUGUGUUGUCUCAAGUCACAAGCUGUACAUCUGAAACACUUUUUUUUUUUUUUUUUUUUUUUUUUUUGCUAGAGAGCAGCAGCAUAAACUCUAUUCUUGCUCACUCACUUUACUAGUUGCAUGUUAUCUGGUGCUCUUCUCACCGAAAAAGGGCACAAGAAUCAAAAUUAUGGGGUACUGUUUAUCAGCAAGUAACUUAUUAUUUUUGCACCUUAGGACACAAAAUUCUUGUGUGUCUUCAGAAAAAUACGGCACUGCAGCUCAAUGCUUGGUGUAUUAUCACACCUUGGGUCUGUUGGACAGGCAUGGGGAAGCUUUUGAGAGGAACAAGCACCAAGGCAGAGGCUCCUUCAUGCUAAACUUUGGCCUGAGAUCCUGCAGGAGGUUAAGCAAAAAGAAGCAAGACUGGUGCAUUGCGUGGGGGUUUUGCAGAGAGAGUUAUCAGUCAACAGCUGUAAGUCCAGACUCCUUGCAGCUGAUAACAGAUCUGCUCAUUCAGCCUAACCACUCAUGCAUGCAAAAUCAAAGAAGAUUAGGAUCUGUUUAGAGACAGAUGGGAGGAAAAAAAAAAAAACAAAAAAAAAUCAGUAAACUCCAGACUACCCUUAAAAUCAGGACAGCCUGUGUAGUAUAGGAAGAUUCAUGGUCUGCUAUUGUUCUGUGACAUAAAGUCCAUUCACCUCUUGCAGCAUGAAACUAGAAAUACCUGUAUUUAGGUGUCAUGAUUCUAAGUCAGUAGCAGUUAACAGAAAUGUUUCUUGACCUGUAGUUGUUUAGGACCACAGAUUCCCUUCAAAUUGGGGAAGGAUGCAAUUCCAACAUACUUUUCUUUGGUUAACAAUGCUUUCAGUCACAAUAUUGUAAAUACAAGGAAGCUCCCUAUUCUAUAAAACUACAAGCAGCAAUACAACUGUGCACAUAAGACUUCGUAGGACAUACAUUUUUUAAAAUGGAUUUAUACAUUUAUUGUCUAAAUUAUUAAAUGAGUAUGAUUCAACCUGGCUUUCUUUUGGCUACCAAGUUCAUCUAUGCUUAGGGGUAUAUCGAUGCAAAAUCUGGCUGCAGCUGCUGAGCAGUGAGAGUGCUUCACAGGAGCCAAAAGUCUAUCUCUUUCUGCGAGAAAGAUUUGCUGCUAUGUCAUACCCGCGUGUAAACACGAGCCUUACAGAGCCUCCUCCACCUGAUUAACUCCCUGUUUAGAGAAGUCGCUCAACAGCAUCCUUAUGCUGGAGUUCAGUAUCUCCUGGCCUGGGAGUUUAUAAAGUCCAGAGAGCACUUUCUGGCUGAAGGGCACUAACAAUGCAAAUGCAGCGUGAGUCAUUAUCAUUAUGGUCCUUCCAUGUUCUUACUGAAAUCACUGAUGCACCUUCUGCGUCCAGCUGACCCAGCAGUAUUUCUUGCAUUAUAGGAUUCUGAUUCCACUUCCAUUGUUAAUGUUCAUUACUUCCUUGGAGAGCUGCAAUUUCAUUAUUAAUACAUCAGCGUAACAGAGCACAGACUACAUAAGUGCAUUUCUGAGCAUUAGUUAAAUAUAAGUUUUAAGAACAAAAUAGGCUUCCUCUGCCAACGGUAUGCUCCUUGUACAAAUGCUUUAUGGCUACAAUU